rnacentral:rRNA from 1 species
UACGUAGGCAGCGAGCGUUGUCCGGAUUUACUGGGCGUAAAGGGCGUGCAGGCGGUUUGUUAAGUGCAGGGUGAAAGCUCCCGGCUCAACUGGGAGAGGUCCUUGCAUACUGGCGAACUCGAGGGAGGCAGAGGAAAGUGGAAUUCCCGGUGUAGUGGUGAUAUGCGUAGAUAUCGGGAGGAACACCUGUGGCGAAGGCGGCUUUCUGGGCCUUACCUGACGCUGAGACGCGAAAGCGUGGGGAGCGAACCGG